AUAGGUAGAUUAAAUUCUCUAAACAACCUUUCUUUGCACUCAAAUUAUUUAGAAGAUUUAAUCCCGCAGUCUUUGGGUAACUUAACCAACUUGGUUACCUUGUAUAUUUAUAACAAUUCACUUUCUGGUUCAAUUCCAAGUGAAUUAGGAAACCUGAAGUCUCUUUCUGAUCUAGAAUUGGGCAACAAUAAACUCAGUGGCUCGAUUCCUCAUUCUUUGGGUAACUUAACCAACUUGGUUACCUUGUAUAUUCAUAACAAUUCACUUUCUGGCUUAAUUCCAAGUGAAAUAGGAAACUUGAAGUCUCUUUCUAAUCUAGCAUUGAGCAGUAAUAAACUUAGUGGCUCAAUCCCUCAAUCUUUGGGCAAUUUGAGCAACUUAGCUAUGUUGUAUCUUUAUAGCAAUUUACUUUUUGGUUCAAUUCCAAGUGAAUUAGGAAACCUGAAGUCUCUUUCCGAUCUAGAAUUGGCCAACAAUAAACUCAGUGGUUCGAUUCCUCAUUCUUUGGGUAACUUAACCAACUUGGUUACCUUGUAUAUUCAUAACAAUUCACUUUCUGGCUUAAUUCCAAGUGAAAUAGGAAACUUGAAGUUUCUUUCUAAUCUAGCACUGAGCAGUAAUAAACUUAGUGGCUCAAUCCCUCAAUCUUUGGGCAAUUUGACCAACUUAGCUACGUUGUAUCUUUCUAUCAAUUCAUUUUUUGGUUCAAUUCCAAGUGAAUUAGGAAAUUUGAAAUCUCUUUCCAUUCUAGAUUUAGGGUUCAAUAAACUCAGUGGCUCAAUCCAUAUUUCUUUGAGUAACUUGACCAACUUGGCUUACUUGAGUUUG
rnacentral:lncRNA from 1 species